rnacentral:rRNA from 1 species
UACGUAGGGUGCGAGCGUUUAAUCGGAAUUACUGGGCGUAAAGCGUGCGCAGGCGGUGAUGUAAGACAGAUGUGAAAUCCCCGGGCUCAACCUGGGAACUGCAUUUGUGACUGCAUCGCUGGAGUGCGGCAGAGGGGGAUGGAAUUCCGCGUGUAGCAGUGAAAUGCGUAGAUAUGCGGAGGAACACCGAUGGCGAAGGCAAUCCCCUGGGCCUGCACUGGACGCCCCAUGCACGAAAGCGUGGGGAGCAAACAGG